rnacentral:rRNA from 1 species
UACUCCUACGGGAGGCAGCAGUGGGGAAUAUUGGACAAUGGGCGAAAGCCUGAUCCAGCCAUGCCGCGUGUGUGAAGAAGGUCUUCGGAUUGUAAAGCACUUUAAGUUGGGAGGAAGGGCAGUUACCUAAUACGUGAUUGUUUUGACGUUACCGACAGAUAAGCACCGGCUAACUCUGUGCCAGCAGCCGCGGUAAUAC